rnacentral:rRNA from 1 species
GUCCACGCCGUAAACGAUGUCAACUAGCCGUUUGUGUCUUUAAGACGUGAGUGGCGUAGCUAACGCGCUAAGUUGACCGCCUGGGGAGUACGGCCGCAAGGUUAAAACUCAAAUGAAUUGACGGGGGCCCGCACAAGCGGUGGAGCAUGUGGUUUAAUUCGAUGCAACGCGAAGAACCUUACCAUCCCUUGACAUCCAGAGAAUUUUCUAGAGAUAGAUUAGUGCCUUCGGGAACUCUGAGACAGGUGCUGCAUGGCU